rnacentral:rRNA from 1 species
GACGAACGCUGGCGGCGUGCUUAACACAUGCAAGUCGAACGGAAAAGCCCUGCUUUUGUGGGGUGCUCGAGUGGCGAACGGGUGAGUAACACGUGAGUCACCUGCCCUUGACUUUGGGAUAACUUCAGGAAACUGGGGCUAAUACCUGAUAGGAGCUCCUGCUGCAUGGUGGGGGUUGGAAAGUUUCGGCGGUUGGGGCUGGACGCGCGGCUUAUCAGCUUGUUGGUGGGGUAGUGGCUUACCAAGGGUUUGACGGGUAGCCGGCCUGAGAGGGUGACCGGCGACAUUGGGACUGAGAUACGGCCCAGACUCCUACGGGAGGCAGCAGUGGGGAAUAUUGCACAAUGGGCGGAAGCCUGAUGCAGCAACGCCGCGUGCGGGAUGACGGCCUUCGGGUUGUAAACCGCUUUAGCCUGUGACGAAGCGUGAGUGACGGUAAUGGGUAAAGAAGCACCGGCUAACUACGUG